rnacentral:sRNA from 1 species
UAAUAGAUUAGAUAGAGAUAGAUAGAUAGACGGGUGUCUUCAAAUUAUUGGAUUGUAUGUGCCAUUUUUUUUAUAUUUUCAGUUUCUCUAGGCUCAGAUGAUCACAAGAUGAUAAAUCUUUACUGCAUGGUGUCAUCAUACACUCAAUCAUUUGAGAAAUCCAAUCCAGCACAAGCACUGGCUUAUUUUAAGUUUUUAGCCCAGUAGUUUUCUGUUACCAGAGAUCAAGUGCAAGUGUUCUCUUGUGUGAUUCUUUGGAUUUGGUUUCAAUAGCAUGCUGGUCCAGUUUAACAUGUUCUGAAAGUAUAACAAGAUCAGUUCAGUUAAUUUGUCUGCACCAUUGUUCUGAGACACUUCUUUGCCAAGCUUAACAAUUUCAAAUUUAAAACAUUGGCUCUGAAUUUACUUCCUAUCAAUGAUUUAACAGAAUCAGGAACAUUGAAUCUGACAACACAAUCUUCACCUUAUAUGUCACAGCACUACUUAUCAAGUCUGACCGAGUGUUCAAGUCACUUAGUUUCUUCUGUGACUAUCCACUAAGUCUUGCCACAUUCAACUUAGCAGUGUUUAAUGUAAGAAUUUAGAAAUGGUCCAAAUUGACAU